AGGAGAAAAAUGGGAGAAUCUGAUGAUAACAGCAGGCCCUUUGAAGAGCCACCUUGAAGGAAGUCAAAGAAGUAUAUUUCAGGACACAGAAGCUUGUCCUGGCAAGAAUCCUAUCUGUAAGCUCUACAGAACUAGCAUUUCCUCAAUUUCCAUCUGCCAAGAUGCUAACAGAGAACACAUCAAGUAGGUGGAACACACAAGGGACUGACCUUGACUUAAAGCAAGUAUGGCAAUCUAAGAUCUCUGCCAUGACAUGACUAUAGUUUAUGAACCAUUUACAAUGGUAGUAAUAUCACAUUAUUCAUUGUCUGUAUACCAUGUGCCCCAGAUAUUAAAGCCAAUUGAUGCAUACUGUCUUUC
rnacentral:lncRNA from 1 species